UUCCGGUUGAUCCUGCCGGAGGCUACCGCUAUUGGAGUUCGAUUAAGCCAUGCGAGUCGAGAGUCUUAGGGACUCGGCGCACCGCUCAGUAACACGUGGGUAACCUGCCCUAUGCUGGGGGAUAACCUCGGGAAACUGAGAAUAAUACCCCAUAGUUCACCACGCCUGGAACGGUGGGUGGAUCAAAGCUCCGGCGGCAUAGGAUGGGCUGCGACGUAUCAGGUUGUAGGGGGUGUAACGUACCCUCUAGCCAUCAACGCGUACGGGUGUUGGGAGACAUAGCCCGGAGAUGGAUUCUGAGACACGAAUCCAGACCCUACGGGGUGCAGCAGGCGCGAAAACUUGGCAAUGCGAGCAAUCGUGACCAGGGAACUCCAAGUGGCUGGGGUAAUACCCAGUUUUUUCUUGACUCUUCAAAGGUCUUGGAAUAAGGGGUGGGUAAGGACGGUGCCAGCCGCCGCGGUAAUACCGGCGCCUCAAGUGGUAGUCGCUUUUAUUGGGCCUAAAACGUCCGUAGCCGGUCUGGUACAUUCGUGGGUAAAUCAACCCGCUCAACGGGUUGAAUUCUGCGAGCACGGCCAGACUUGGGACCGGGAGAGGUGUGGGGUACUCUCAGGGUAGGGGUAAAAUCCUGUCAUCCUGAGAGGACCACCUGUUGCGAAGGCGCCACACUAGAACGGAUCCGACGGUCAGGGACGAAGCCUAGGGGCACGAACCGGAUUAGAUACCCGGGUAGUCCUAGGUGUAAACGCUGUGGACUUGAUGUUGGGAGUGCUCCGAGCACCCUCAGUGUCGAAGCGAAGGUGAUAAGUCCACUGCCUGGGGAGUACGGUCGCAAGGCUGAAACUUAAAGGAAUUGGCGGGGGAGCACUGCAACCUGAGGAUUGUGCGGUUUAAUUGGAGUCAACGCCGGA
rnacentral:rRNA from 1 species